GGAGGGUAUAGCUCAGUGGUAGAGCGCAUACUUAGAAAUGCAUGAGGUCCUGGGUUCAAUCCCCAGUCCCUCCU